UCAUGGGCGAUGGCCUGAACCAGCCAGUAGCGUGAAGGAUGACUGCCCUAUGGGUUGUAAACUUCUUUUAUAAAGGAAUAAAGUCGGGUAUGCAUACCCGUUUGCAUGUACUUUAUGAAUAAGGAUCGGCUAACUCCGUGCCAGCAGCCGCGGUAAUACGGAGGAUCCGAGCGUUAUCCGGAUUUAUUGGGUUUAAAGGGAGCGUAGAUGGAUGUUUAAGUCAGUUGUGAAAGUUUGCGGCUCAACCGUAAAAUUGCAGUUGAUACUGGAUGUCUUGAGUGCAGUUGAGGCAGGCGGAAUUCGUGGUGUAGCGGUGAAAUGCUUAGAUAUCACGAAGAACUCCGAUUGCGAAGGCAGCCUGCUAAGCUGCAACUGACAUUGAGGCUCGAAAGUGUGGGUAUCAAACAGGAUUAGAUACCCUGGUAGUCCAAGGGCGAAUUC
rnacentral:rRNA from 1 species